rnacentral:tRNA from 1 species
GGGCCGGUAGCGUAACGGUAGCGCGCUUCGAUGGCAUCGAAGAGGUUGAGAGUUCGAAUCUCUUCCGGUCCA